GCUGUUAGGAGACUUUGUCUUUUAGUGGCGCAGCUAACGUUUUAAGUUGUCCGCCUGGGGAGUACGGCCGCAAGGCUAAAACUCAAAUGAAUUGACGGGGACCCGCACAAGCAGUGGAUCAUGUGGUUUAAUUCGAUGCAACGCGAAAAACCUUACCUACUCUUGACAUACUUGGAAGCUCUUGUAAUGAGAGUGUGCUUUUAAGAACCAAGAUACAGGUGCUGCAUGGCUGUCGUCAGCUCGUGUCGUGAGAUGUUCCGUUAAGUCGGAUAACGAGCGCAACCCUUACCCUUAUUUGCCAGCGAUUCGGUCGGGAACUAUAAGGGGACUGCCGGUGAUAAACCGGAGGAAGGUGAGGACGACGUCAAGUCAUCAUGGCCCUUACGAGUAGGGCUACACACGUGAUACAAUGGGAGAGACAGACGGACGCUAAGCCGCGAGGUGGUGCUAAUCCUAGAAACUCUCUCGUAGUCCGGAUUGGAGUCUGCAACUCGACUCCAUGAAGUUGGAAUUGCUAGUAAUCGCGGAUCAGCAUGCCGCGGUGAAUACGUUCUCGGGUCUUGUACACACCGCCCGUCACACCAUGGAAGUGGAUUGCACCAGAAGUAGAUAGUCUAACCUUAGGGAGGGCGUUUACCACGGUGUGCUUCAUGACUGGGGUG
rnacentral:rRNA from 1 species